GUGGCCCCAAGUCAGGCGAGGCCCACCCGCC
rnacentral:rRNA from 1 species